UUUCCGUAGGUGAACCUGCGGAAGGAUCAUUAAAGUUAUAGUCCCCCGGCCCCUCCGGGCUGGGGUCUUCUAUACCACCCUUUGUUUAUUACACCUUUGUUGCUUUGGCAGGCCUGCCCUCGGGCUGCUGGCUCCGGCCGGCUCGUGCCUGCCAGAGGACCUAAACUCUGUUUGUAUAUGAAGUCUGAGUACUAUAUAAUAGUUAAAACUUUCAACAACGGAUCUCUUGGUCCUG
rnacentral:misc_RNA from 1 species